AGCAUAUCAAUAAGCGGAGGAAAAGAAACCAACAGGGAUUGCCUCAGUAACGGCGAGUGAAGCGGCAACAGCUCAAAUUUGAAAUCUGGCGCCUUCGGCGUCCGAGUUGUAAUUUGUAGAGGAUGCUUCGGCGAGGGCUCCCGUCUAAGUCCCUUGGAACAGGGCGUCACAGAGGGUGAGAAUCCCGUAUGUGAUGGGCUGCCCGAGCCGUGUGAAGCUCCUUCGACGAGUCGAGUUGUUUGGGAAUGCAGCUCUAAAUGGGAGGUAAAUUUCUUCUAAAGCUAAAUACCGGCCAGAGACCGAUAGCGCACAAGUAGAGUGAUCGAAAGAUGAAAAGCACUUUGGAAAGAGAGUUAAAAAGUACGUGAAAUUGUUGAAAGGGAAGCGCUUGCAACCAGACUCGCGCGCAGUUGCUCAGCCGGUCUCCUGACCGGUGUACUCUUCUGCGUCCGGGCCAGCAUCAGUUCGGGCGGUCGGAUAAAGGCCUCGGGAAUGUGGCUCCCCUCGGGGAGUGUUAUAGCCCGGGGUGCAAUGCGGCCAGCCCGGACUGAGGAACUCGCUUCGGCUAGGAUGCUGGCGUAAUGGUUGUAAGCGGCCCGUCUUGAAACACGGACCAAGGAGUCUAACAUCUAUGCGAGUGUUUGGGUGUCAAACCCAUGCGCGUAAUGAAAGUGAACGGAGGUGGGAACCCUCGCGGGUGCACCAUCGACCGAUCCUGAUGUCUUCGGAUGGAUUUGAGUAAGAGCAUAGCUGUUGGGACCCGAAAGAUGGUGAACUAUGCCUGAAUAGGGUGAAGCCAGAGGAAACUCUGGUGGAGGCUCGCAGCGGUUCUGACGUGCAAAUCGAUCGUCAAAUUUGGGUAUAGGGGCGAAAGACUAAUCGAACCAUC
rnacentral:rRNA from 1 species